GCAGUGGUAGUUUAAUGGUAGAAUUUUUGCCUUCUGUGCAAGAGACCUGGGUUCAAUUCCUAAUCUAUGCA
rnacentral:tRNA from 1 species